rnacentral:rRNA from 1 species
UACGUAGGGUGCGAGCGUUGUCCGGAAUUAUUGGGCGUAAAGAGCUUGUAGGCGGUUUGUCGCGUCUGACUGUGAAAUCUCAAGGCUCAACCUUGAGCUUGCAGUGGGUACGGGCAGAACUAGAGUGUGGUAGGGGAGACAUGGAAUUCCUGGUGUAGCGGUGAAAUGACGCAGAUAUCAGGAGGAACACCGAUGGCGAAGGCAG